rnacentral:tRNA from 1 species
AGUAUAGUGCCUGAUUUAAAAGGAUUAAUUUGAUAGAUUAAAUAAUGAUAGAUUAAGAAAAC